GAUGAACGCUGGCGGCGUGCUUAACACAUGCAAGUCGAACGAAGCACCUUGAUUUGAUUCUUCGGAUGAAGAUCUUGGUGACUGAGUGGCGGACGGGUGAGUAACGCGUGGGUAACCUGCCUCAUACAGGGGGAUAACAGUUAGAAAUGACUGCUAAUACCGCAUAUGACCACAGCACCGCAUGUUGCAGGGGUAAAAACUCCGGUGGGAUGAGAUGGACCCGCGUCUGAUUAGGUAGUUGGUGGGGUAACGGCCUAUCACGCCGACGAUCAGUAGCCGAGAGGGGAGGGGGACCGGCCACGUUGGAAAUGAGACACGGACCAAAAUCCGACGGGAGGGAGCAGUGGGGAAUAUUGCACAAUGGGGGAAACCCUGAUGCAGCGACGCCGCGUGAGAGAUGAAGUAGUUCGGUAUGUAAAGAUCUAUGAGAAGGGAAGAAAAUGACGGUACCGGACUAAGAAGCACCGGCUAAAUACGUG
rnacentral:rRNA from 1 species